AGGGUUUGAUCAUGGCUCAGAACGUACGCUGGCGGCACGCUUAACACAUGCAAGUCGAACGCAGUAGCAAUACUGAGUGGCAAACGGGUGAGUAUAAUGUGGGAAUCUGCCUUUUGGUUUGGAAUAACACGGGGAAACUUGUGCUAAUACCAAAUAAGCCCUUACGGGGAAAGUUUUAACGCCGAAAGAUGAGCCCGCACUUGAUUAGCUAGUUGGUAAGGUAAAAGCUUACCAAGGCGACAAUCAAUAGCUGUUCUUAGAGGAAGACCAGCCACAUUGGGACUGAGACACGGCCCAGACUCCUACGGGAGGCAGCAGUGGGGAAUCUUGCACAAUGGGGGAAACCCUGAUGCAGCGAUGCCGCGUGAGUGAAGAAGGCCUUUGGGUUGUAAAACUCUUUCGUCGGGGAAGAAAAUGACUGUACCCGAAUAAGAAGGUCCGGCUAACUUCGUGCCAGCCGCCGCGGUAAUAC
rnacentral:rRNA from 1 species